CAAAGAGUUUGGAUAUUAUAAUGUUUUUGUCGUUUUUGUUCAAUUUGUUGAUUACAUCUAUUCCUUUAAUGCAUAUUGAAAAACGGAUAAGUCAACUUUUACCAAUUUUGGGAGAAUGUGAAGAGUGUUACACAAAUAUUAAAAUGGCGAAUACUAGAAAAACUUUACUUCUUCAGCUGCAACAACAAACUGUAUAUUUUUCAGCUUGUGGAUUUUAUCACAUAUCUAUAGCAAUACUAUUGGAGAGUUUAAGCUUCGUAAUUCCAAUAUUGUUGUUUGUGUACCAGCUUAAUCUUGAUUAAAGGCUGCACAAAGUUUGUCUUAGAACAAAAGAUAAUAUGCUCAUAACUUCUUUAAUGAAAACUAAACACUUUUUAUUCUAAA